rnacentral:snoRNA from 1 species
CUAAUGCUUAUGAUGGUAUUAAAUAUACUCCGAGAUUUAUAUAUCUAUGAAAAAUAUUUGAUCUGAGGCAUUUA